UCACAGAGGUUUCGCGGUGGAAAAGGUAAUGAUCCUCACGCCAACAGUGACGCGGAAUCUGGAGAGCAUCCAGCUGGCGCUGGAGACCAGCAAUGCAAUCCUCAUUCAAGGGGAGAUCGGAUGUGGAAAGAGCGCAUCUGUGCUUCAUUUAGCGGAGAAGUACGCGGCAAAGGAAACAAUGAUCCAAGUAAACGUAGACGACACGUUCGACAGCAAGGAUCUUCUCGGCAAGUUUAGCGCGACUCAAACCCCUGGAACCUUCCAGUGGGUUCCGGGGCCGCUGACGGUCGCUGUGCAGAAGGGCUAUUGGGUUCUCAUGGAGGAUAUCGACCUCGCUUCGUUCGAUGUCUUUGCCGUGCUCCUUUCCCUCCUUGAGAGCUCGACCCUCUUUAUUCCGGACAAGAGCAAGUUUCUGCGCGCGCACAGCGGGUUCAGGCUGAUUGCAACUCAGCAGCUGUACUCCUCCGGUGCAGCCGUACUCACACGCAAGUCAAACUCCGUACCGUAUGCCGAGCUUUGGGGCACCGUGAUCAUGGAAAACCUCCCAGCGGAAGAAAUGUGCGCCAUUGUCAACCAUACAUACAGCAACGUUCCGUUGUCCAUCAUUCAAAGCCUCGCGGCAUUGGCUUCCCCAACGUCUGGCACAAGACUCGUGGGGCUGCAGAAUCUGCUAAGGUGGAGUAAACGAGUAAGUAAGCGUCUGCCAAGCACGCUUUGUAUUGAUAAUGCUAAUAGCAAAAACACACUGGCGUUUAUCUCGUCCCGCACGCGCGAGACAAUGGUGAAGGAGGCGUUCGACUGCCUUGUAGCAAAGUACCCUCCAGGAAAUGAGCGUGCUGGAGUUCUGAAGCUGAUUUCGGAAGCUUGCGGGGUACCGAUCAAUGUUGCUGAGCCUCUUGUCCUGGAGUGCAGACCACAGGAGUCACUGACCACAGACAUGUACUCAGUGGGCAGGGUGUGCAUUCCGCUCAUCUCCACUGUCUCCGGGCUCUUGCGCGACAGCCGCAUUGCAUUCGCGCCAACCACGCACGCCAUGUCCCUCUUGGAGAGGCUUGCGGCGGCCGUAGAAUCGCACGAGCACGUGCUUCUGACUGGCGAAACAGGCGUAGGAAAGACGUUUAUUGUGCAGUAUCUGGCGGAUCAGCUGGGCCAGUCGCUAAUCGUGCACAAUCUCAAUCAGCAGACGGACUCGUCGGAUUUCAUGGGCGGAUGGAAGCCGUUGGAUGUCGGUGUGACAGUGCGGGACCUGUACAACGGAUUUACGGAGCUCUUUGCGGCAUGCUUCAAUGUUGAGAAAAACGCACAGUUUCUCAAUAUUCUUCAGCAGUCCGUCAAUGGCCGGAAAUGGGGCCGUGCGCUGAGCCAGAUCAUCAAGGGUUGCGGCUCUUUUAGGGCAAAGAGCGCAAAGGUGAAGUACGAUGCAGCGAUGCAGCAGCAGUGGGAGGAUCUGGAACAGAAGGCCAACGAGCUGCUGAACACUGUAGAAAACACGAGAACCAACUUCGCGUUUUGCUUCGAGGAAGGUUCCCUUGUCAAGGCGUGGCGCGAGGGCCACUGGAUUCUGCUGGAUGAGCUCAAUCUGGCCAGUACCGAGGUGCUGGAGCGCGUCUCCUCUGUGCUUGGCGAUGUCGACCGCCUUUUUCUCACGGACAAGGACUCUUCAGAGCCGAUCAUGCGCCACAAGAACUUCCACGUUUUCGCGAACAUGAAUCCUCCGACUGACGUCGGCAAAAAAGACUUGCCGCCGUCUCUGCGUUCGCGGUUUGUCGAGUACUACGUGAGCGAACCAUUUAACCGCAACGACAUUAGCAUUGUGGUGAGGGCGUACAUAGGCUUCCUCACGGCAGACUCAAAGGUAGACGAAAUUACUGACUUUUUCCUCGACUGUGUGAACAAUGCGAAAACGAAGCUCUGCGCCUUGGACGGCGAGUCGAAAGCGCCGUCGUUUAGCCUGCGCACACUCACACGAGCCCUCUCUUACGUGCGCCGCGCCACCCCACUUUACGGCUUUGCGAUCGCCUUGUUUGACGGCCUACUUCUUGGGUUUGCGACUCCUCUGCAGCGUCAGUUCCACGUGGUCGUGGAGCAGCUCAUUGUCAAGAAUAUCUUUCGUGGCAAGCGUCCCAACUCCCCCACCUUGCCGGCCGCCCCGAAGAACGGGUCGUUUAUCGCGUACGAGCACAUGUGGAUUCCUGCUGGUACCGAGGUUCCGUACUGCGACGAGGCGUUCAUCCUCACCAACAGCGUCAAAGGCCACCUGACGAAUCUCAGCCGCGCAGUGUUUGCAAAUCGUCCGGUGCUGCUCGAGGGCCCUACGUCCUCUGGCAAGAGUUCCAUGGUGAAAUAUCUGGCCGAGAUCACCGGCAAUAAGUUUGUGCGUAUCAACAACCACGACAGCACCGAGGUUCAGGAGUACCUGGGUCACUACGUCACAGAUGAGCUCGGAAAGCUGCGCUACGUGGACGGAAUUCUCGUGAAGGCUGUUCGCCACGGCUACUGGGUGGUGUUGGAUGAGCUGAAUCUUGCACCGACUGACGUGCUCGAAGCCCUUAACCGUCUUCUGGAUGACAACUGCGAGCUGUUUGUUGCUGACACUCAAGAAACCAUAAAGCCGCAUCCUCAGCUUCGCAUCUUUGCGACUCAGAAUCCUGCCGGCAUUUACAGUGGCCGAAAGAUGCUCUCGCGCGCCUUUCGAAACCGCUUUCUUGAGAUUACAGUGGACGAGAUCCCAACAACGGAGAUCAGCACUAUUCUGUGCCGCCGCUACUCACUUCCUCAGAGUUUUGCUGAUAAAAUGGUGGAGGUGAUGACAGCGCUGCAAAUUCACCGCCAGAGCUCGCAGAUCUUUGCCGGCCGUCAUGGGUUCAUCACGCCUCGCGAUUUGUUUCGGUGGGCGGAGCGUCGACCGGAAACGUAUCAGCAGCUGGCGGAGCACGGCUUUCUGCUUCUGGGAGAGCGGUGCCGCAAGCCCAGCGAGCGCCAGGUUGUGCGAGAUGUCAUCGAGUCGGUGACCAAGACGGAGCUGGACGACAAGACCAUUUAUCACCCAUCGCACUGGUCGUUUGUACAGCGCUACUUUAGUCAGGUUGAGAGUGGCGUCAUUGACGAGUUCAAAAUUGUCUGGACGGAGUCCAUGCAGCGCCUAUUCACCAUUGUAGGAAUUUGCCUGGAGCACAAAGAGCCCGUCCUGCUCGUUGGCGAAACCGGGAGCAGCAAGACCACGGUGUGCCAGCUGUGGGCGGCACUGCUCGGCAUUCCGCUCCACAUCCUCAACUGCCACCAGCACACAGAGGCAUCGGACUUUCUCGGCAGUCUGCGACCCUCGCCACCGGACCGGCGCGAUCAGGCGUUGUUUGAGUGGCGCAACGGCCCACUGGUGCAGAGCAUGCUCAACGGUGACAUGUUUGUGCUGGAUGAGAUUUCACUCACUGAGGACAGCGUUUUGGAGCGACUGAACAGCGUGCUGGAGCCCUCGCGCAGCGUUACGCUGGCGGAGAAGAGCAGCGCCGACUGCAUCGUGGCGCACGAACGGUUUCUUGUCAUGGCAACCAUGAAUCCUGGUGGUGAUUUUGGCAAGAAGGAGUUAUCGCCCGCCCUCCGCAACCGCUUCACGGAGAUCUACGUCCGCCCCACUACAGACGUAACGGAGGUGAGCAUGAUUCUGUCGAACCGCCUAGAGGCGGAGCUGGCGGUGUGGGCCCCUCACAUGGCUGCGGUGCUCUACCACGUCUCGCAGUCGACCACCACAUCUAGCUCACCUCAGCACAUUAGUAUCCGUGACAUCAUCAGCUGGGUGUCUUUCAUGAACGCUGCCCAUGGCCGGUGCCCGCCGGAGGUCGCCUUUCUGCAGGGACUCGACGCUGUCAUUCUCGAUGGCAUCGGUGUUGGCACUGGGCAGUCGGAGGCGUCGUGUGCGGUGUUGAAGAGCAGCUGCACGUCGCAGGCGGUGCAGGAGGUGAUGCAGUCCGGGCAUGCGCCGAUCGACCACAAUGCCCUGCUUGCGAAGCCCUUCUGGGAGGUGUGCGAGGGCAUGGCGGAGCCGCAGCUGCCGCCAUCGAUGCAGGGCCGCUUCUUCUUCGGCGCCCCGGCAACGCGGCGCAAUUUGUCCAAGCUGAUGCGGGCGAGCCUCGUGAAGAAGGCAGUUCUCCUGGAAGGUAGCCCGGGCGUGGGUAAAACCAGCAUCGUGGAAGCUCUCGGAUGCGCGCUGGAUCGAUCGGUGGUGCGCAUCAAUUUGAGCGAGCAGACGGACAUCAUGGACCUCUUUGGUACGUACCUGCCGAGUCCCGGUGAUGCCACUGAGCAGGAGGCCGCGGCAGAGGGAGAGGAGUCUGCCGCGACGGUGGGGGAUGAACUGGAGCGACAGCAGCCGCGCGGUGGGCGAGGUCCUGUGAAGAGCCCGCAGUUUGCAUGGUCGGAUGGCGUUCUUUUGCGAGCCCUGAAGCAGGGCUCGUGGGUAAUUCUAGACGAGCUGAACCUGGCGAGUCAGUCAGUGCUGGAGGGCCUGAACGCCUUGCUCGACCACCGCUCCUCCGUUUUUAUCCCUGAGCUGAACGAAGAGUUUCACGCUCACGCCGACUUCCGCGUGUUUGCGUGCCAGAACCCGCUGCUGGAGGGUGGCGGUCGCAAAGGCCUGCCUUGCAGCUUCAUCAAUCGAUUCAUCAAGGUACACGUCGAGGCGUUCGAGGUGAGCGACCUGAUUGUGAUUGCCCAGGCAGUGUGCCCGGACAUCGAAGAGGCGACGCUGCGGCGCAUGGUGAACUUCGUGGACCGACUGCAGUACGACAUAAUGGUGCGCCGAGCGUACGGCUUGCGGGGAAGCCCGUGGGAGUUCAACCUACGCGAUGUGUUGCGCUGGGCGAAGCUUUUGCAGUCGUACGAGGCGCGUGAGCGACCGACGUCGUUUGCCGACAUGCUUUUUCUCCAGCGCAUGCGCACCGAUGAGGAUGCGGCGCGGUGCCGCCUAGCGCUCGAGUCGUGCUUCUCCAAGGAAGAAGUCGAGAGAGACGUGGAACACGGGUGCGACUCCGACUUCCUCAUCCACAACAACACCGUUUACUUCGCCAAGCAACGACUCAUGCAGCGCGAGACAGCCACCAUCAGCGCCUCGGAAGCACAGCAACUUAGCUCCUUGCUGCUCCUUCCUUCACAGGCGCACCUUGUCAAGUCGCUGCUGGUGUGCGUUGAGCAGAAUCAGUUUGCCUUGCUGGUUGGUCCCUCCGGCGCCGGUAAGACCUUCGCACUGCGCACCGCCGCCGCCCUUGCCGGGGCAAGGCUAGUGACCUUUUCCAUGACCGCGAGCUGCGACACAGUGGACUUGCUGGGCGGAUUCGAUCAGGUGGAGGGCAAGCAAGGCGAGUUCGAGUGGCGUGACUCUCUCGUGCUGGAGGCGAUGCUGCAGGGGCACUGGCUCGUUUUGGACAACGUGAACUACUGCAAUGCGAGCGUGCUGGACCGACUGAACCCACUCGUGGAGCCAAAUGGCGUUCUCUUCGUCAAUGAACAGGGUGUCGUUAACGACGAGGUGCGCAUGAUUCGGCCGCACCCUCGCUUCCGCCUCUUCGCUACGCUGAACCCGCGCUACGGCGAGAUCUCACGUGCCAUGCGCAACCGCGCCGUUGAGCUGUACGUGAAACCGGUAGCAAUCCCAUCUGCAGAGAGCUUCGCCCUCGGCGCCCACGCAUCCGUCGUGGCACAGGAACGGCACCAAUCGUCGCAAGAUGCCAAGAGCGCGGACGAAGCGGCCAACUCCGUCGCGUCUCUGAGCGCACCUCCGGUACGCUUGCUCUCGCGUCUGCUGCGGUACCACCAGACGUUUGUUUCUGUUGGCUUUCAUGCUGACUCCCAACACCCCGGGACUGCGCAGCUCAGCGAUGCGCUCUCUGCCGGUGCGCCAAGUGUAUUCACGUUACUGCGGACAAGCUGCCUGCUGCGACCCAGCAGCCUAGUCGGCGACUUGGAGAGGCUGAUUCUCCACCGAUACAUCCACAACCGCAGUGGGCACUGGGCCAGCUUCAAGUCGGAGCUACUUGAGCUGCUACGCUGCAUAAUGGACGGUGACACCGAAGAGAACGAUACUGCCGCUUUUGCUGACGAGGCGAUGGAGGUACUGCGCGCACUGCGGCUAGGUGGCCGCGGUGACGAGAUGCUUGACAGGGCUGCCGCCGCCGAGGAUGAGGAAGCCGCCACCGCUAGCGACCCGGUGGCAAGGGCUCUUGUGUGCUGCCGUGUUGGCCGUGCUGCUCUUGCGUUGCAACGGCUUCUUUCGGAGUCGACCAGCGCCACCGAGCACGAGAUGAAGGACGCCGCGGAAGCGGCGAAGCAGAAGGAGAAGCGCACGCUCACCAAUCGUCACCGGCUGGAGGACUUGGUGCUGUGCUUCGUCCUGGAGCAGUGCAGCGACAGCGUCCCACUCGACGCCGUCACGGAGACGCGUCGGCUGUGGAUAAGUCACCGUCUCCCAGCUGAAUUCGCGCAGCGCGCUCUCUCGCUUGUGAGGACGAGCUUUUGCUCCUCAGAGAUGCUCGCACGGCUUUACACACGUGCUGUCCUUCUACUUGGCCCUCACGCCGAUGCACUCACGGCGCUGUGGGGCUCGCAGAUGCAGGUGGUCAGCACCACCCUCGUGAACAACGCCCUGGUUCAUCUGUGCGGUGUGCUGCAGGCGGCAUUCGCGAGCCACAAUGCAACUCCUGUGCCACCCGCAACGUUUCAGCAGCUUCUUCGCCUUGCCGCGCCGUUCGCGCGACUCGUGGUUCAACUCGCCAACGAGGAGUACGGUGUGCACACCGACAACUACAUCCCCCUCGUCACCUACACAGCGCUGAUGUGCAAGGCCGCCUCGAAGAUGAAACCACCAAUACCCCACGCCAUGGCGCUGGUUCAUGCCGCCACAAGCUUUCUGGACUCGCUUCAGCAGCAUCUCGGCCUCCCCUUCCCGCUGCUGGGCGGCAAGGCCCCGCUGCACCGCUAUGUGCCGACUCCUCACAUUACCACGGCAGAGGAGCGACGCCUACUGCAGGCAUGGAACACGACCGCGAACGAGGCAUCCGCUGCCAGGCCAACAGCCCAGUCAAACUCGGCGGUAGGCCCACAAGCGCUACUUCAUCGCCUAUGGGAGUCUGCAGCGUUCCGCGAGGGCUUUGCAUGCCUUCAGCAGCUCUUGUACAUUCGCGCCACGGCAGCCACGUACUCCAGCGUGACAUCGGCGGAUCCUGCGCACACAGUGCACCCCCUUCUCCCUGCCCUGCAGGCUCGGAUGACCGCAUUCGUUGACACCUACACAGCUCGUUUGCCGCUCUUCACUGAACUCGAACUGGCCCUCUGGCGCAGCGUGCACCAGCUGUCCCUCGAUAAACCAGCGGACACGACGGAGGCCCUGGCUCAGCUGGCGCCGUUGUUGCUGAGCCGCUUUGCCAGUCGCCACGGUGUCGCCGGCACGCGUCACCUCUUCGGCGGCGCGUGGGCGGUGGCUGCGGCGGAUUGUAUGCGCUAUGGUGCGCAGGUGCGUGUUAUGGACAUCGGCCUCGCCGACAAUCCACGCCUGCAAGCCCUGGCUGGCCUCUCCACAUUUCUGCAGACCUGUCCUUUGGCGGCUGCGUCGCCACUGGAGGAGUGGGCGACCAACUCUCAGCGAGAGUUGGUGGGAGUGCUGUGCACCUGCUUCCCAGACCUUGCUUCUUGCGUGCCGACGCCGCUGCCGCCAUCCCGCACCUCAGCCACGGCCCUCACCCGACUCUCCGUCUUUGGAAAGGUGGAAACGGUCGUCGCCUCCGCGGCGCCGAUGCCGUCUUUGGUGCUCGAGAGGCAGAGGGUGCUGAUGGCUGCUCUGCUGCGCCGACUUCGUAGCAACGGAUGUGACAGCGCGGACACGCUUUCUGCCGUGACGCUUCUCUGGGUCUUCAAGUGCCGUCUGCUGCUGCCGCAGUCCCCAGUGGAUCCAAUGUAUCGGCGGGAGUGCAAGCGAGUGGUGGCCACUGAGGAGCUAGAGCUUCUCGGCCGACUCGAUGGCGCGUUUGCCUGGGCCGAGCAGCUCGCAAUCCGGCACCGCAGCCCCCAGCGCGAGAUCCUGCUGACGCUGCGUGUGCAGGAGAAAGAGCUUCUGCGGCAGGCACAGCGCAAGUAUGUGACUCGCCCAGACGCCACUGGCAUGAAGUACGCUACCCUCAUCCGCCAGCUGUACCAGGUGUGUACGACGCUCCUGUCCGACGCGCGUGUGCUCGGUUUGUUCGAGAUGCCGCCGGCGUCUGCUGGUGGUUUGAAUGCGGCUGCCGCCGCAGACAUCAUAGCCAGCCGAGAGGCGUGGAGUGACCUGCUGUACGAGCAGGUGAUGCAGCUGCUGGCCGAUUACGGCGGCUACGAGGACGUGACGGUGAACUUUGCUGAGGCAGCGCUGCUCGCCUCCAUGGCAGCGCGGGCUAGCUGCACCACGGAUGUCCGUCUGCUCGCCGCCGCCGCCUCCGCCGACUCGUCUGCACUAUCGCGCACACUCUUUAGCCGUGCCGAAACGCUGCGCCUGCUGCAAUUUCCAUCCCCCCUGGUGCACGUGUUGCCGAUGCCCCCACUGCAGCACACCGCGUCUCUGCUGCGCCACCGCGUCGUCUACCUGGACUCGUGCCUCUCCCUGCUCUCCGGCACCGCGCCGCAGGGGACGAGCCGCGACUUUGUCGAGGACGUCUUCGCCCAGUACCGUUCCCUGUUCCGCCAGAUCGAGGAGUGGGAGGUGCAGGAGCGCCAGGCCGACCAGCUCGCGGUGAUGUACAAGGAAAAGGCCACCGUGAUCGAGGGCGACGAUGAGAAGCUGAUACGCAAGUUGAAGGAGCUGUACCCGAGCUACGAGGCGGAGUUCAGCAUCGACGCUCUCGAGGACGACGCGGCGGAAUCUUCGGAUCGAAAGAAGACGGAGGAGCAGCUGGAGGGGCGUCGCGCCAAGUUUGCCCGCAUCCUUUUCAAGGAGCGGGACGGCUUCUACCUGCGCCACCUCGUCGAGGUGCACCGAACCUUCUACUGGCGCCUCAUCUCUUGCCGCAUGAAGGAGGCAGCGACGGCACCCAGUGCAUGCAGCGCAAAGUCGCCGCAGUCUACCGCGCUGCUUGCCGCUUUUCAGAACCGCUUCGAUGCCCUCGCCGCGGAACUGCACACCUUUCCGGCGUCGAGCGGCAGCACAUCUGGGGUGGCGGGGAUGGAGGAACAGCUUCUCCUGAAUGGCUUCGCGGCCCGCGUCUCACUGCUGCGCGAGGAGAUGCGUGGCACAGCUGUCUCCCUGGAGGAGCGGAAGGAGGCUGCCUUCAACAUUUUCCUCGACACGGACGUGUACGAACUGAGUCGCUUCAGCACCCCUUUGCAGACUUUGCUGGAUGCCGUGCAGCGACUUGCCGAGCAGUAUCCCGACACGCCGUCGUUGCAGCGGUGCCUGCGCAUUGGCCACAAGAUUGCCGCACUUCCGGCGAUGAGUACCCCGCUGAUGAAGGUGAUGGCGGGUUGCGAGGUGCUGCUGCGGGAGUGCUACGAGUGGGAACGCAACGCAUCGCACGAGGUCUCGUUGAUGCGCCACAUGACGGCGCUUUCCUCCUUCGUGCUGCGCUGGCGCCGUCUGGAGCUGCACUGCUGGGCACACGUAUUUCAGGCGAAGCGCGCCGAACUCGAGCUCCAGGCAGCGCAGCAGUGGUUCACGCUCUAUGACCUUCUGCUCGGUGAAGCGGUGCCAUGCGAGCCGGACGGCGAAGGCCACCAUACCGUAGCUGUGUGGGAUGCCGAAACGCCGCUGCUGCGACACUGCCGCACCGCCUUCCAGCGUGCCUCGAAGUUCAUGUGGGAUGCGAUCUUUGGAGACUUCAGUGUGCGGCUCCGCAUCCUGCAAGGGUUUGGGUUUCAGCUCCUCGCGGCAGAGAGUGCGCAGGCGCCGCUGGCUAACACGGUGCUGCACGUGUGCGACUUCUUUGCCCAGUUCGAACCGCUCGUCCAGCAACAACGCGACAAGGCCGUGCAGCCGAUCGAGGAGGACAUUGCGGAGUUCGCCAAGAUUAUGCGCUGGGAGGACGCCAACUACUACGCCGUGCGCGCCACCGCGGAGAAGUCGCACAUGAAGAUGGCGCGCGUGCUCGGUACCCUGGAAGAGGUGCUGCGAACCCCGGUCCUCGCGGUCAUCACAGCCGAGGAGCAGCGGUGCGAGGACGAUGCUUCGCUCGGCUUCGCGCUGCCGGUGAAGGUGGACUCCAAGUCCAAGAAGGCAAAGCAGGCAAGAAAGCCUGCGGAGGCUGCGGGCAAGGGUGCGAAGCAGGGCAUCAAACGACAACGCAACGGCAAGGCCGUUUCUGCCGCUGCAGAUAACCCAUCACUGGAGGCUGUUGCCACGGCGGAGGAUCCAGCGCUCCAGUUGCUGAGCCGCAACGUAUACCUCGACCAGGUUCACACUUUCUUGCGAGACGCCGCUCACGAGGUGAUCGAGAACGUGACAGCUCUCCAGAAGCCUAAGACGCCGAAUCAGAUGAAGGUGCGAGCCCUCAAGACGCUCUUCGGCCGACUUUCCGAGGCCGGCGUACCGCACACGCACGAGAACCAAGUCGGCGACUGGGGGGUUCUCUUCUUCACCACUGAGGCGCUGCUGGGGUGUUGUGAGACGCACCGCGACCAGACAGCCGCAGUCGCCCGUGCCGGCGCUGCUGCGGCGGAGCAGUAUCGAUUUGCUCGCUGGCUGCAGCGACUGCGCGAAGUGGAGAGAAAGCCGCACCACGACCUUUCCGCUGCACAGGCGAAGCGCGGAACUGGGAUAGCCGAGAGCCUCUUUUCGAACGCCGUGCACGUGGCAACAGUACUGUGCGAGCUGUUUCACCUGGAUGAGCAGCUACGCGUGCUGGAGGUCACUGUGCAGCACAGUGUACUGGCGUCUGACGGCGACACCGAUGGCGGUGUCGUGAGUCACGCUGUACCGCGCGUCUUCCUCGAUGACGCUGUCGAGGUUGCUUGCCUUGUUCAGUCCGUGUGCAGUGGCCUAGGAUGGAUGACGCAGCAGCCGCACAUGGUCGCCAAAACUACAGCAGAGGCUCACGGGCUCGUGCACGAGCUGGCGGGCGUUUCAAAUGAGCUGUGGUCUCUUUGCACCUCGUAUGAGCCGCUGCGCCUCUCCGCCGCGUCUACGGUGCCGCCUGGCAUUUCCAAGUACUACUUCGAUGCACUGCACCGCGUACUGGGUGUGGUGUGCCGCAUACAGGCGUGCGAUGUCGCGAACAUCGCUGCUGCGGCGAAGCCUCUCGUCGACGCCGUUACUGAUAUGCUCGCGCGCCACGAGCAGCCAUCGGCGCAGAUGCGCGAGCGUCUCGCCACGGAGGCAAAGCGGCGUCGCACCGAGCAGUUGCCGAAGCCGUGGGCUCAGCGACUGCGCCAUGCCGUCGAGGAAGUGAGCGAUGCCCUCGUCCCCUGUGGGGAGGGUGCGAGUGUGGUGCUCGAAGACGAUGUGCGGAUGCCAUCGACGACGGCCACGACAGAUGCGGAGGCGAAGGUGAGCGGGCACUGCGACUCCGAGUCCGAUACGGAUGCGCCACAACUUGAGUCAGCCGUCUACGCCCGCUACACCAUGCAUGGCGCGGCGGUCCACGAGGCGCUGCAGCGACUCGUGCCGAUCCUGGAGGAUCUCCUCGCCUCGCCUGUCAGCUCUGAGGGUGCUACAGCCGCGACCGUUGUAACGAGUUCGGCGCUGCCAAGCGUAUGCACCCUUGCAGCGCGCGAGAGAGAAGAGCUGCUUCCACGGCUGUCUGUGUGUCGCCGUGAGGUGCAGCGUGUACGCGAUGCGUGGUGCACCGUGCUGGAAGCGCAGUGCUUUUUCGGCGUCGUCGUCGCACGCCUCUUUACUGUGCUCCUCAAGAAGGGCUUCUGCAAGACUGAGGACGAGGAACCUGACGACGGCGAGGGCGACGGCGAGGGUGGCCAGCAGCAAAACGGCACCGGGAUGGAUGACGGCCAAGGCGAGAAGGAUGUCACGGACCAGAUCGACAACGAGGACCAGCUCAUGAAUAUGAAAGAUAAGGAGGAGCAGCAGGCGGAUGAGCAGCGGCAAGGCGAGAAGGACGAGGGCGAGGAGGACACAGCGGCGGACGUGGAGACGGACUUCAACGGCCAAAAGGAGCACCGCAGCGAGAGCGAUGGCGAAGGUGACGAGGAGGGCGAGGAGUCGGACAAGGAAAUGGGCGACGUCGACGACGGCACGGAGCAGGAACGCAAGAAGGCGAAGAAGGACGCUGGCGAUGCCGAUGACAUGAACGAGGAUGCUGGCGACGCAGCCGAGGAGGUGCCCGAAGACGACCUUGCCGAAGGCGAUGAGCACCGCGAGGACAACGAGGAAACCGGCGGCUUUGAAGACAAGGCGGACGAGAUUCGAGACGCCAAUGAGGAUCGCUCCUGCGAGCACGACGUGGUCGGCGAUGACGACAAGAGUGAGAUGGACGAGGACGGUAGCAGCGACGGCGACUCCGUCGAGCACAGCGAUACUGAUGGUGAGGAGCGCGACGAGAGCGCGCGGGAUGAUAAGCUGCCCAGCGACACGGACGAGGAACCGGAAGAGAGCGACGUUGCCUCUGAGGAGCGCGUCGACAGUGACGCCGCGACCGACGCGGAGCGCAGCGAGUUGGGCGAGGAAGAGGUGGGGCAGCGGGACAACAGCGAGAACGCGGGUGAUGUAUCGGACAUCGAGGACGCCAGCGACGGCCCCGACGAGAACGUGUACGAGGGCGGCCAGCAGGAUGACCGAGAAGGCGACGAGGCUACGGAGAACCAGGACAAGGACAAGAAAGACACGUCCGCCAAAGUCCGCAAGGAGCAGGCCGCCAACGAGGAGGAGCAGCCAGGCACAGAGCAGGAGCAGGACGACGCGGGGCAGAACUGGAAGCAGCAGCAGGAGCAGAACGAGCAGGCGCAGCGCCGCGACAACGCGGAGCAGACCCGCUCUCAGCACAACCCGUAUCGUGCCGUCAAGGAGGCCCUGCAGCGGCAUCAGCGUCAGAUGCAGCAGCUCAACCUUAACCAGCACGUGAAGGUCACGGAUGAAAAGGAUGAGCCCAAAGCGGAGAAGCCACCGAAGCCGGACCAGGCGGGCGAGCAGGAGGAUGUUGAGGAGUUCGACUUUGAAGAGGACGGAGACCGUGAGGGCCUAGCUGCUGCUGAGCACACCGAGGCAAAGCCAACUGAAACAGACGCGUAUGAGGGCGAGGAGAGCCACAAUGACGCGAGCGGCGACGAGGAUGGCAUAGGGGAGGACGAGGACGACUCCGCUGACGCCCCGCAAGAGACGCGUCGCAAGUGUCGCCAGAACAGGGACGAGCUCACCGAACUGGAGGAGAAGGAGGCGGCGGCAACAUCCCAGAAGAUGAAGUCCAAGAAGAAGGUGCGGACGACUGCCGACGAUGAGGACGCGAGUGCGUCGGAGGACCAGGAGGACGAUGACACCACCAAGAAAGACGACCAAGAUGCCGCGGCGGAAGCGAACGUGAAGCUUGAGCGUGGUCGGCAGCUGUGGCUGGAGCAGGAGACUGCAGUGCAUGGCCUCUCUCAGCAGUUGUGCGAGCAGCUCCGCCUCAUCCUCGCCCCGACGCUCGCUGAUAAGCUCCAGGGCGACUACAAGACCGGCAAGCGGCUCAACAUGAAGCGCAUCAUUCCGUACAUAGCCUCUCAGUUCAAGAAGGACCGCAUCUGGCUGCGUCGCACAAAGCCGAGCAAGCGCACAUACCAAAUACUGGUGGCCCUCGAUGACUCGCUGAGUAUGCAGUGCAACAAUGCUGGCGUGCUAUCCUGCCGUGCAGUGGCCCUCAUUGCCAAGGCUCUGCAACAGCUGGAGGUGGGCGAGUUCGGCGUCGCGUGCUUCGGCAAGGAGACUCACGUGGUGCACCCCCUGGAGGAGCCGUUUCUCGCCGACAGCGGUCCGCGCCUCUUCAGCGAGAUUACGUUUGAGCAGAAGUCCACAAACAUGAAGCUGCUCUUAGAGACUACGCUCGGCUACCUCGACGACGCUCGCGACCGCAUGCGUGGCCAGACCCGCUCUACGACACAGCAGCUGCAGCAGAUCAUGUUUAUCAUCGGUGAUGGCCAGAUCACGGAAAACCGCGACGACUUGCGCCAGCUGAUGGUGCGGGCCGAGGAGAACCACCAGAUGGUCGUGUUCGUGCUGCUGGAUAUCAGGGCAGCUGAGGGGGACACCGCUACGCCCAGUGCUGGGCCAUCUGCCGCUCCGGCCGCAGCGGCGCCGCUCAGGGCAAAGACGUUGCAGGGACUCUCUACUGCAGAGCGCCUGCGCCGCCUCAAGGCGGACCGCGAGGCGCGACUGCUGCGCGUUCAGUCGAACUCGAUCCUGGACAUGCAGGUGGUCGAGUUCCAAGCUGGCCGCGUGGUGCGCCGCCCUUACAUGGAGGACUUCCCUUUCCCUUACUACCUCAUCAUCCGCGACAUUCAGAAUUUACCGGAGAUCAUCGCGGACGCCAUGCGGCAGUGGUUUGAGCUACUCAAUGCCGGCGCGUAAAGAAAGCGGGUCGAUUACGGAUCGCGCAUAUGCAUGCGCUGCUUACCCUUCUUUUUGUUUGUUUUCUGUACUUCCCACCUCUGUCUUCGUGUUUUCCGCGAUGCGCUCUCAUCCACCAGCUCCCGCCCGCCCCGAUCCCUCACCUCUGGACGGCUAUGCUGGAUGUAGAACGUUGACCAUGGUGCAAGUUGUGUUUCGUGCCCAAUGCCGGGUAUGCGGGCGUGCGUGUCGGUGAGUCAUCGGAUGAAUUCGUCUGUUUCCUUCAACGCCUUUCUCCAUUGUGUUUCGCUUGCCGUUCAUUCUCUCUUUUCUUUUUCUUUCGCUAUCAGCUGACGAGAUGCGGAGUGGGGCAGCUGCGUGCGUGCUUGUGUGUGCCGGUGGGUGCUCGAUGGACACAUCGAGUGCCACUGGCCCCGGGUGUGGCUGUGAAGGUGUCUUGGCGUUGUGGUUUAUUUCUGUUUCUUCUCUCAAGUGGGCCUCGAUGCCUCACUCUCGUGGUGCUUGAUCUUUGAUGAUGAUGACGCUUGAGUUAAGACACACACACAGAGACACAGACACAGACACACGGCGGAGGUGGGAUGAACGGCCUGUGCUGUUCACCUCCCCGCCUUUCCGCGUUUGCACACGUGUGUCUGUGCGUGGAUCCCUUCCCCGAUAUAAACAUAAGUAUAUAUAUAUAUAUAUAAGCCAGUGCAUGUGCAUGCAUGUGUGCCUGCGUUUGUGUGUGCUGUUGUUGUUUUUGUUGUCAUGCGAAUGUGUGCCACGGGCAUCUUUUACCGUUUCGCUUGUAAACCAAGCGGGCGUCAUUCAUCACUGCGGACGAUAACAACGACGCAUUCUUUUAAAACGAACGCUAAUGGGCGUCUCUCUUGCCUCUCUUCUUCCGACGUUGCCGUGCUCUCUCUGUGUGUCUCUUUACAGUUGACGUCGAAGUAACCCAAGUUUGCGCGCAUGUGUGCGUGUGUGCUCUCGUGUCGUCUGGACUUUGUGGGCACGCCCACAAGGGAUGCAAUAAAACGAAAAGGUGAGCACAGUAAGGCCGUCACGGCGACGGCAGGCGGCGUCGUGAGGCGGGACGGGCACACGGCGGCAAACGAGUUCCAGUGGUGCGCAUGAAAAAGAGACGCACGCGCCUUCGCUGAUGUGCGGAAGGACCGGUGAGGAUUACGGAGAGGUGACGCGUCUCUCUCUCGCUCUGUGUAUGGAUGCGCGCGGAUGGUGAGCGCCUCAAGUGCGGAUUCAGUGUCUAGUACGUGGCCUCCUUUUCCUCCUUCCACGGGCCAGUCACUGCUACCAGCACCACCAUCAUUGAUGCAACGGCUGCUGUCGCGGGCGGUCGCUUCUGCGGGUAUCUAGGCCCGAUCCUCCCCCAUGACAGUAUGGGUUCACAUCAGCGCAUUCACACAAUUCUGCUGUGCCCAACGUCUUGCCCAAAUUCGCUCUCUCUCUCUGCUGCCGCUGCACACACACACACACACACGCCUGACGCACUUGCAUGCUGUAUACGGAGCGUGAGUGCGUGUCUGUGCUUGCGUGUGUGCUUUUCCGGGACCAUAUCUCCUUUCGCAUCCCUCCCCCUCCUUGCGCGCUUUCUUUCCCCCACGUUCGAUGCUGAGCUGCAAG
rnacentral:misc_RNA from 1 species